CACGUAGGGCGCGAGCGUUGUCCGGAAUUAUUGGGCGUAAAGAGCUCGUAGGCGGUUUGUCGCGUCUGCUGUGAAAACCCGAGGCUCAACCUCGGGCCUGCAGUGGGUACGGGCAGACUAGAGUGUGGUAGGGGAGACUGGAAUUCCUGGUGUAGCGGUGAAAUGCGCAGAUAUCAGGAGGAACACCGGUGGCGAAGGCGGGUCUCUGGGCCGGUACUGACGCUGAGGUGCGAAAGCGUGGGGAGCAAACAGG
rnacentral:rRNA from 1 species